AGUGUCAUCCCAGGGAAGGUGAGCGAAGCUGUCCACUAGGACUAAAUAGGGGUGGAGGUAACAGGUAGCAGGGACUCUGGCAGGAACCGCCUUUCAGACGUUUUCAGGACCGUCUGAGCGGGGCCUCCAAGUAUGGGUAGGAGACAGGCGGCCUAGGGAUUCCGGUUAGCACGUCGCGUUCUGCCGCAGCAGGGCUGGGAGCAUCCCCGGGGCAGGCGGAGGUCGGAGGUGGUGAGGCCUUUCGGCGAAGCUGAGGCCUGGAACAACCCGGUGGGAAGCCACGGAGGGGGUCCCCUAGCGGAGGCUGGGCGCGGGCCGGUGCGCGUGCGCGGCUGGAGGCUCAGCGCGCGAGCGUGCGCGUGAUUUGGCCCUGAACGGACGCCGUAGCCGAGAGGUUGGGCGGAUGUUGUGAACCGGGUCGCGGCGGCCGAGGCUCGGGCCUCCAGGACCACUGGCUGCCCAUGAGAGACGAAGGAUGGCAUCCAAGGGGGCCGGCGUGUCUUUCUCCCGCAAGAGCUGUAGGCUGACCUCAGAUGCUGAGAAAUCCAGGGUCACAGCCUCCCAAGUAGCUAGGACUACAUACGUCCGCCACCAUGCCCAGCUAAUUGUUGUAUUUUUAGUAGAGACAGGGUUUCACCGUGUUGGCCAGGCUGGUCUUGAACUCCUUACCUAAGGUGAUCCACCUGCCCCAGCUUCCCAAAGUGCUGGGAUUACAGGAGUGAGCCAUGGCACCUGGCCUAGGGUUGUUAUAUGUUUGACAUCCGUCCCAUUUGGGAGGCCUUCUCAUCAGUCAUUUUAUGCCUUUAAUGCCAUUCUAGGUAGGCAGGAAAGGGGUCAGGGCCAGUGGGCCCAUGUAGCAGAUAGGGAAACUGAGGCCCAGAGAGGACAAGCCACUUCUUCAAGAGGACCCAAACUGGAUGCCAGGCAGGCCCUCUGCCUCUGGGAUUUUGCCCAUAUGGCUCAACUGGCCUAAGUCUGCUGGCCCAAGGAAAAAUUUCAACCCAACCCUGCCCUUUCCCCCAUUCCUCUCGUGCAGGGGAGUUGGCGGGCCUGCGGCAGCAAAUAAUAGCUACGCAGGAGAAAGCCAGUCUAGACAAGGAGCUGAUGGCCCAGAAGCUGGUGCAGGCUGAGCGGGAGGCCCAGGCCUCUCUGCGGGAGCAGUGGGCAGCCCAGGAGGAGGACUUACAGUGACUCCAGCGUGAAAAGGUUCAGGCAGCUGGGGAGGGGUGGGCAGAAGUCUGAGCCAGUGUUUCAUCAUCGUUCUUGCUCUGCCUCGGUCUGUACAUCUGUGAAAUGGGACUCCCUCUCUGUUGUGGAGGCCCUGGGGACAGCUGGGAGGACUGGAGGGGUGGUGGGGAGGUUGUGGUCCUUAUUAGACAUUCAGAUACCCAGGUCCCAAAUCUGGUCCAGCCCUGGUAAUCCUGAUGCAGAGGGUCCACAACCACAUUUGGGAAAUGUUGACCUAAUGCACAGCAGGAAAGCACUUUCAUUUGCUAAGAAGUUUCCAUAUGAAGGGCCACGCAGACCUGAGCAUGUAGAAAGGCAAGGGGCCAGGGAAGUUACUAGAACACUGACUCUGGGGUUAUAUUGCCUGGGUUUGAAUCUAAUCUUGGUCGCUUACUGGUGAUGCUACCCAAGGUGUCUGUGCCUUCAUUUCCCCACCUGUAGAAAUAGGGAUAGGAUAGUGGAAGGUAUUGAGGAUGAGCUGAGACCAUCUGCAUAGAGGGCUUAACAUAGUGACUGGUACUUAGCAAAUGCUCCAUGAGUUAUGAUUGCUGGCACUGGCAUGCUCUCCAGAGUGGCCCUCAGAACAGGGGCCCUCAGCCACCAAAUCCUAGACAGGGCUUCCUCUGACAGAGGUGCAGGCUAUGACUACAUGGCUCCAGGGCAUGCCACUCACCCUGCAGUCCCCAUGGCCUUGGGUGGUGGUUAUCACGCUUCUCCAUCAGGGGGCGGUAAAGCUCUUUCCGAAAGUGCUGGGAUUCCAGGCAUGAGCUAUGGUGAAGCUCUUAAAGAAGGGGUGGCUUGGCCGGGCGUGCUG
ensembl:lncRNA novel transcript